AGAUCUGAUUCACUACUGAAGUCCUCUGUAUUUAAAUUUUCGAAGUCUGACUCCCCUACAGCAAUAGGAACCGGAGCAUGGAAGAAAAGCUGGCAAGUUACUUGAAGUCACGUCCAAUGAUUCUUACCAGUUGGUAAAGGUUCUCCCAGAAGUCCUGAGUCAUUAGUCGAAACAAGGAUAAAAAAGCCCAGCUGAAUGUAUCAAAGCUUGUGUACCCAUAAUUGGGGUUUCUGCCAGCUUUUACACAUACAUAACCUUCUGGACAUUGGCUGCAAAUGGGGAAAAGAAAGAUUACAAGUCAUCCCAUUGCCUUUCUUUUCUGUUAGCACACUAUACUUGCAGUAUUACUUAGCCAAUAAUAUUUGCUGUUUCCAGAGAUAAAAGUAACAUAAAUGGUA